AUUGAACGCUGGCGGCAUGCCUUACACAUGCAAGUCGAACGGUAACAGGUCUUCGGAUGCUGACGAGUGGCGAACGGGGGAGUAAUACAUCGGAACGUGCCCAGACGUGGGGGAUAACGAGGCGAAAGCUUUGCUAAUACCGCAUACGAUCUAAGGAUGAAAGCAGGGGACCGCAAGGCCUUGCGCGGUUGGAGCGGCCGAUGGCAGAUUAGGUAGGUGGUGGGAUAAAAGCUUACCAAGCCGACGAUCUGUAGCUGGUCUGAGAGGACGACCAGCCACACUGUGACUGAGGCACGGCCCAGACUCCUACGGGAGGCAGCAGUGGGGACUUUUGGACAAUGGGCGAAAGCCUGAUCCAGCAAUGCCGCGUGCAGGAUGAAGGCCUUCGGGUUGUAAACUGCUUUUGUACGGAACGAAAAGGCUCUGGCUAAUACCUGGGGCACAUGACGGUACCGUAAGAAUAAGCACCGGCUAACUACGUG
rnacentral:rRNA from 1 species